rnacentral:rRNA from 1 species
AUUGAACGCUGGCGGCAGGCCUAACACAUGCAAGUCGAGCGGAUGAAGGGAGCUUGCUCCUGGAUUCAGCGGCGGACGGGUGAGUAAUGCCUAGGAAUCUGCCUGGUAGUGGGGGAUAACGUCCGGAAACGGGCGCUAAUACCGCAUACGUCCUGAGGGAGAAAGUGGGGGAUCUUCGGACCUCACGCUAUCAGAUGAGCCUAGGUCGGAUUAGCUAGUUGGUGGGGUAAAGGCCUACCAAGGCGACGAUCCGUAACUGGUCUGAGAGGAUGAUCAGUCACACUGGAACUGAGACAAGGUCCAGACUCCUACGGGAGGCAGCAGUGGGGAAUAUUGGACAAUGGGCGAAAGCCUGAUCCAGCCAUGCCGCGUGUGUGAAGAAGGUCUUCGGAUUGUAAAGCACUUUAAGUUGGGAGGAAGGGCAGUAAGUUAAUACCUUGCUGUUUUGACGUUACCAACAGAAUAGGCACCGGCUAACUUCGUG